UACGUAGGGGGCAAGCGUUGUCCGGAUUUAUUGGGCGUAAAGAGCUCGUAGGCGGUUUGGCAAGUCGGAUGUGAAAUCUCCACGCUCAACGUGGAGGCGCCAUUCGAUACUGCCAUGACUCGAGUCCGGUAGGGGAGUGUGGAAUUCCCGGUGUAGCGGUGAAAUGCGCAGAGAUCGGGAGGAACACCUGUAGCGAAGGCGGCACUCUGGGCCGGAACUGACGCUGAGGAGCGAAAGCGUGGGGAGCGAACAGG
rnacentral:misc_RNA from 1 species